AAGUUCCAGAAUAAAGAGGGGAUCCAUUCAACAGCGGCAAACACUCUUCCCUCAACUCACCAAUGGCUAUCAUCUCCGAUUUCAACGAAGAAGAGCAGAAACCCACCCGCUCCUCGCAAUCCCAAUCCGCUUCAUCUUCUUCUUCUUCAUCCUUCACUGCCCCUUUCGACCGAUCAAACCCCAUAGCUUUCCUCCAGAAAGUAUUUGAAUUCGUCUCCGAACAGAGUGACUUUCUGGCCACGGAGGCAGCCGAGAAGCAGGUACUUUCGCUGGUUCGCGCUGCCGGAAAGAAGAGGAGAGACCAGCUCAAGGCCUCCGAAGAGAGGGAGAAGGCGGAGAAGAAGAAGAGGGAGGAACUCAAAGCCACGGAGGAGAGAAAAAAGGCCGAGAAGAGAUUGAAGGAGGAGAAGGAACACAAAGCGGAAGAAGACAGCGGCACCUCCAAAGGUAAACUAGCGGAAAUCGUUUCAUUCUCUUCCAAUGUGCGAUUAUUAUGUCUUGCCCUAAAAAUUCUUUAAUUGACGGUGUCGCUGAGAGCAAGGGCUUGCUUUGUUGGGAGUCAUGAGGGAAUGUAAUGUCCUUGUUUAAACAACAAUCUUUUGCUUGUAGGUCGUUUAUUUUUCUUCCGUUUAAUUUAGGUGUACAGUGGCAACGCAUAUAAUGACCAUUGCAUAUGAUAGGUAGUUUGUCAAUUUACGGUUUGCUUUAAUUUGGGGUCGAAAUGGGGGGUUAUGACGAGGGUACUGGAGAAGAGAAAAGACAUUCUGAGGUUAAAAUCAACUCAACUUUGGUCACUAAAAGUUAUUAUGCAAUAAAUGUAAAUCAUCUAUCUCUUUAUGUCAAACAUUUAUAUAUAUUUCAGGAUGAGUUUUUAAUUAGUGAUAGACCUAAUCAUGGUCCAAUUGCAACAAAUCAUAUUUUACCUUUAAGUUGAUCAACAUUAAUGUGUUCUGAUUCAUUACCAACUGGUUUGCAUUGUGAUCGACCGGGUACACUAAUGGUUUGUUAGAUGAUUCGACUUAUAGUUGACUGUCCGAUCUGUAGCUGACUGGAUAACCAUACAGCACAAUACCUAAAGACACAAUAUCUAGCAAUAGUGCAUGUAUUUGGCUUGUGUGGACAAUCCCAGGGAAGAAAACCAGAGGGAAGAUUUCACCCAUGGGCCAUGAGCCAAGAACAUGACACUAACUUCCACCCAAAAUUGAAUAGGGUUGUUGAUCUUUCUCAUUUAUAUGGUGUUGGACUUCCACUCACAUGUCAACUCCAACACCCCUCACCAAUGUCUUUAGGGGAUUAGUUGAGCAACCAUUGGAUAGAAAUUUUUUAUUAGGAGAUUUCAUUUGAAAUCAUGGUAGAGUAUGCUUUUGCACCUCCCAAUAUAAGAAUUUUCACUUUUGAUUGACAUUAUGUCUAGAGUUUGGCAUUUUAGAUAAAGGGUCUUGAUGGUUAAAUCUUCAGUGAAUAGAAAAUUUGUUAGGAAGAGAGAGGGCUAGCAUAAAAAUACGUGUUCCAUGCAUUCUAUCCUAUUGUUGCAUUGAUAGAGUACUUAUGGAUUAGAACUUUUUUGUGUGUGGGGUCAAAGGGGAGGUGAUUGUUUUCUUUGUAUGUGGCCUCAUUCAAAGGAUUUCUCUGUAUGUAGCCUCAUUCAAAGGGUUUAAGACUGGGUACUUCAAGGUUGGAAUCUUUGAGGCCGGUUGGAAGUGCUCUUUUAAUGCGGGCAAUCAACCUAUAUUCUUGUUCUACUAGACCUAAGGUCCUAAGAGGGUGACAUCUUGGCACAAAUCGACAAUGACAUUCAAUGAAGUGGCAACGCUGGAGAUUAUUGACCAGCUUCCUCAUUGUCUCCCUUCUGGAAGGCUCUUAUUGUGUCAUGGAUCUUUAACCCUUUGUGAUGAUGUGUUUAGUAAGUUGAUUUCGUUGUUCAUGAUUGAUUAUUGUUCGGUGUUAACUUGCUUCAUUUUUUGUUAAUUUUCAAAGAUCAUGGACCUCACAACUAUUCCAUCUAGUUUCGAACCUCGUCUUGAGAUUCAAAUAUCCUCGGGUAUCCACACUCUAACUCGAGAAUCCUAUGAUCUGUUCAUUGUAAGACACAAUGAGGUCCUCAAAUAUGUCCCCAUCUUUAGGAAUGUUUUCCAAUAUAAGAUAUUGGCCGAGUUGUCCUGGUCGGGGUUUGGAGCAUUGAAGUCCUCGUUCGUGAAUGAACUGUCUUCAACGCUCGUAUAUGCCUUUUGUGCGCUGAUGUUGAAGACCCUUCUCCAAUAAAUCAGCCUAAGAUUGUAUUGAUAUGCCCUCUAAGUGGGUGAUUCUACUUUUGCUUCGGCUCUUACGCUAGAGGGUUAUUUAUGAUUCUCGAAUUGUAGCAUGUACUCUCAAAACUACUUUUGCGAUGUGGGCUCCUCUCCUCCCACUCGGUCUUGACAUAUUUCUUGAGGUGAAUCGUUCGGAUCAACUCUUCUAUUUUAUCAAGGAAGAUGGUGCAUUCCUCCAUUGUGUUUCUUAUGUUCUUGUGAUAUAAACAAUGCUUAUUGCCAUCGACACCUCGAGGGAUAGCCUUAUUCCUUUGAGCUGGUAUUAACUCGGCAUUUAGAGCUUCUUCAAGUAUCAUUUCAUGAGGUGCGUUAGAAGGAGUGUAUAGAUGAAACCGUGGCCUCUUGGAAAACUCCUUGGAGCUAGUGUUGCUCCCUUUCCUGUGCUUUUUAUUGUUCGCCUUCUUAUUGCUCGAUGAAGCUUCCUGUCUGAUUUGUCGUUGGAAGUCCCACAUAUCUUCAACCUGCAUGAACUGAGCGACUCACUACCUUAGUUUGUCCAUGUCCUCUGCUAGCUUCAUAUAAAGUUUGUCAGCAAAGGCUUUAGGCCAUAAGGCCGUGAUCAUAUGGUGCAAGGCCACCUCGUGACUAAGGUUUUGGAUCUGCCUUGUCUUACCAUACUGCUCCAUGAACACCUGGAGUGACUCUUCCUCUUCUGCAUGAUAUUCACCAUGGCAAGAGAUGUUAGAUCAUGUGGCCAACUUGUAGCAAAAUGUGCCCCAAACUUAAAGCGUAUCGUGGCGAAGUUGUCGAUGGAGUUGGGUGGUAGGGAGUUGCACUGGCCAGUGUUUCCCUCGAGCGAGAUGGAGAAGGCCCUACAUCAAACGGGGUCACUUGAGGUGUAGAACGUCAUUUGGUUCAUGAACAUUCUGUGAUGUUUGUUAGGAUUGGUGGGCCUGUCAUACUUCUCAAAAGUUGGGAGGGUCGAUCUGUCCGGUAACGGGUCUCCAUUAUGUAUGGUGUGAAGGGAAGCAACUUGGUUGUGUUCAUAGUGAGCAUGGAUGGGUGAUCCCUACUGGCUCUCGUCCUGCCAUCAAGAGUGGUUCUACACAGGUCCUUGUGUGGCCUGGUCAGGGUGGGUUUAUGGUCCUGCCAUCAAGAGUGGUUCUACACAGGUCCUUGUGUGGCCUGGUCAGGGUGGGUUUAUGUAGGAGGCAAUGAACUCCUAGCAUUAGCAUUUUGUUCUUGACGCGUAGUUGUGCUCUCUACUCUAAGGGUUGCCAACUCCUCUUGAUAUCUGCACUACAUUUCCUCCAUAUGUCGUUGCAUACUUCUGAGCAUCUCAAUCUCAAUCUGAUUGGGUUGGUUGUUGGUCUCCUUUGUAGCUACGUUACUUGUCAUGUUUCUUGUGGCCACCAUAGGGUUAUAAUGUUGAUCACUCGGUCUCACGGUGGGUACCAAGGGUGUGGAGUUAAGGUCAACUAUCCGGGCUUUGUUGUGUCAUCCAAGGUCCAAUUAAUGAGGGGUCUCCUAUGUGUCCAAACCGAUCGGAUGGUAUUUGUAAAAGGUACUCUGAUGCUAAAGUCAGUUCAACUUUUAAUAUAUAGCAAUGAAUGUAAUAGUUAAUGCAUAUCACCUACCUUAUUGCCUUAAACUUUUAUUUAUAGGUUUUGUGGUGGGGUUUUGAUUAAUGUUGGCCUAAUUAUGGUCCAAUUGAUAGUAAUCAUACUAUAAUCUUAAGUUAAUCAGUUUUAAAGUUAAUCUACUCUAGUACCAUUCAUUCCAAUUAGUCUAAUUCAAGGAAUACAGUCUGAUUGGUGAUCACCCGAGCUUAGUGGCCUGCUUUUCGAGGUGGUGCUUUAGUAUUUGAGUUGGUGCAUGUCUUGUCGGCUUGUUUGGUGACCAACUAGGCUAACUAGUUUACUAUUCGAGCUUGUACUUGACCAUCCAAGCUGGUGCAUGGUCUGCGGACCGGUUUGGUGGUUGGUUGGACUUGCUAGUUUGCUUUCUAGUUGGGAUUUUAGGGGUUUGACCAUCUAGGAUGGUGUAUGGCCAGCUGACCUAUUUGGUAGUUGGCUAGGCUAGCUGGUUUGCUCUCUGAGUUGGGAUUGACCAUUUGGGCUGGUGUAUGGUCGGUUGGGCUCAGAGCUAGGGUUGACCAUCAAGGCUAUGGUUGGUUGUCUAGGUUGUGGUUUGUACAAGAACAAAUGGUGUUAUUGUAGUUCAACUGCUUGUUUAAUGUAUACAAGUGUUGACCUUCGAUGUUCAUUAAACACAUACCUGAUUUGCUGCUAAUAUUUUCUCGAUUUUUUUAAUUUUCAAUACUUAAUCAGUUCCAAACAAGGGUAAUGGACUGGAUCUAGAGCAUUACUCUUGGACUCAGACUCUUCAAGAAGUCAACGUGAAUGUUCCAGUGCCUAAUGGAACCAAAUCAAGGUUUGUCGUCUGUGAGAUAAAGAAGAACCAUCUAAAAGUUGGACUCAAAGGCCAACCUCCAAUUAUUGAGGUCAGUUUUUCCUUUUAAAGCAUUCAUUUGAUGGUAUGAUUACUUAGUUGAUAUUUAUUAUCUAUGUGCUAAUUUUAGUGAUGGCUAUGCUUAUAAAUGAAUUUAAAAAUUUCAGGGGGAGUUGUAUCGGUCUGUCAAGCCUGAUGAUUGUUAUUGGAGUAUAGGUACUGUACUACUUACAGCGAUUGAUGAACCUUUGAUGUUACAUUAUGUGUAUGCACGAGCUAAUAAUGUUGGGCGUGUGGUUUUGGAUCGUUUUUAUUGGUAUUGGAAUCAUGACCAUUUCGUAUCUUACACGUUACAUCAAACCCUUAUUUUCAGAGGAUCAAUGUGCACUUUCUAUUCUUUUGACCAAACAUGAUCAAAUGGAAUGGUGGAAAUGUCUAGUGAAAGGUGAUCCUGAAAUUGAUACUCAAAAGGUUGAACCUGAGAACAGCAAACUUUCUGAUCUAGAUCCAGAGACUCGUCAGACUGUUGAAAAAAUGAUGGUAAUCAUUGAUGAUAUUUACACUUACUGGUCAUAUUAGUUGCAGUUGUUUAGUCUCAGUUAUCAUCAUCAUUUCCUAAUAUGCUUUUGAUGUUUAGAAUCCACCUAUUCAUUUAUUGAUAAACUGUUAAAAGAUAAACCGUACAAAUUAUCUGGUGUUAUGUAUCUUGUAAUUUGAUGAAUAUAUCUUUAGUUAGUUGAAGUUUGUGAAACCAUAAUUUGUUAAGCCCUAGGAUCACAAGGCUGAAGAAUUGAUCUUUCUAGUAAGAUAUAUACAUCUCCGCAUUUUGCUUAGAUCUGAAAGACGUAUCCUUGCUAAUUGGAUUACAAUUCUCUUUUACGGUUUUGCAGUUUGACCAGAGGCAGAAGUCUAUGGGUCUUCCAACCAGUGAAGAGCUCCAGAAGCAGGAACUCAUGAAGAAAUUUAUGGCGGAGGUUAUUCUUUACUAACUUGUUGACUUCUCUUCGAUUCACUUUAUCAGUUGCUUUAAUGAUCUGUCUGUUUAUGUUUUGGCUAUUUUUUGCAGCAUCCGGAGAUGGACUUCUCAAGGGCUAAGAUAUCAUAAACGGUACAUUACUCUUGAUAUGUAUUUUUGGGUCUUGCUUCAUUGCGUACAAGCUGGUCCGGCCUUCUUAAUGUUAUAAUGUUUGUACCGUUGCAUAGUAUCUCGUAACCUAUUUUUGGGCU
rnacentral:lncRNA from 1 species